UCAGCUGUUUCAAUUAAGAAGCACAGAUCUUCACUGCAGAGUACAUUGAACAUAUUAAGAACAUUCAGUUGUGGUUGGGCUUCUAACCUUGCUCAACUCCAGCAUUAGCAAAGGGAUUCAGUUUCCUGAAUUCAUUAAUAGUGUUUUGCCACAGAAGGCUUUGUAGUUCUCUCCUGAAUAUUGAGCCUAGCUUAAUAACAUUCCAUUUAUGUUAAAGACACAUUUAAUCUGUAAAUGUGACCUUUAGAAGAAUUCUCUUGUUUUUCAUUAAAGAAACACUGCAUUACAAAUAUUAAUUAUUCCUUGAUGCCAUAUUUUAAUUAACUAAUCAUGUGCUAUUUGCAGCAAUAAAGAGUGUAGUAACGUAUGUGCAGUAAUGUUAUGCAAUGCAAGAUCGAUAUCAAAGAAUUCAGUGCUGCAGAAAAGACGUUUUGGGUAUCUUCUUUGGAUGAGUUUGCUUAUAUAAAACAUUAAGUCUAGAAUGAUGCCUUGUUUUGCUUUGUGUUUUGUAUUUUUAAAUGCCAAUGCAAGUCUGAUUAAAAUGCU
rnacentral:lncRNA from 1 species